UGUUUUGAUUGCUGUCAAAAAGAUUCAGAACAAAGACAGAAAUUCAGGUGCAGGAAUUUUCACUAAGUCCCUGAGAUCUGAUGGUUUUGGGAACGUUUGUGGCCUUGUAUCUUCUAGUGUUUAAUUCGUUUUGCUGUGAUUCUUGCUGGUGCUUGUAGUGUUCUUGGUUGGCUAUAGCCAGAUAUAUUAUUUGUCAUAUUUAG
rnacentral:lncRNA from 1 species